GACGAACCGUGCGAACGUUGUUCGGAAUCACUGGGCUUAAAGGGCGCGUAGGCGGGCAUUCAAGUCGGUGGUGAAAUCCUCCAGCCUAACUGGAGAAGAGCUGUCGAUACUGGGUGCCUCGAGUGGUGCAGGGGUCUGCGGAACUUCGGGUGGAGCGGUGAAAUGCGUAGAUAUCUGGAGGAACACCGGUGGCGAAGGCGGCAUCCUGGACCGGUAUUGACGCUGAGGCGCGAAAGCGUGGGGAGCGAACAGG
rnacentral:rRNA from 1 species